GGCGCUAUAGCCAAGUGGUUACGGCGACAGAUUAGAAUGGUUUUUCACGAAAAUAUGGACCCUUCAUCUGUUCCUCUUUGAGGGCGCAGGUUCAAAUCCUGCUGGCGUCG